rnacentral:lncRNA from 1 species
UCAACACAAAAAGUCAACAGAAAAAGUAUUUGACAAAAUACAACACCCUUUCAUGACAAAAACACUGAACAAACUAGGAACAGAUGGCAACUUUCUCAAUCUGACAAAGGGAAUCUAUAAAAAAUCCACAGCUCUCCCUCUCCCCCUCCUCCUCCCCCUCUCCCCACGGUCUCCCUCUGAUGCCUAGCUGAAGCUGGACUGUACUGCUGCCAUCUCGGCUCACUGCAACCUCCCUGCCUGAUUCUCCUGCCUCAGCCUGCUGAGUGCCUGCGAUUGCAGGCACGCGCCGCCACGCCUGACUGGUUUUCGUAUUUUUUUGGUGGAGACGGGGUUUCGCUGUGUUGGCCUGGCUGGUCUCCAGCUCCUAACCGCGAGUGAUCCGCCAGCCUCGGCCUCCCGGGGUGCUGGGAUUGCGGACGGAGUCUUGUUCACUCAGUGCUCAAUAGUGCCCAGGCUGGAGUGCAGUGGCGUGAUCUCUGCUCGCUACAACCUCCACCUCCCAGCCGCCUGCCUUGGCCUCCCAAAGUGCCGAGAUUGCAGCCUCUGCCCGGCUGCCACCCCGUCUGGGAAGUGAGGAGCGUCUCUGCCUGGCCACCCAUCGUCUGGGAUGUGGGGAGCCCCUCUGCCUGGCUGCCCAGUCUGGAAAGUGAGGAGCGUCUCUGCCUGGCCGCCAUCCCAUCUAGGAAGUGAGGGGCGCCUCUUCCCAGCCGCCAUCCCGUCUAGGAGGUGAGGAGCGUCUCUGCCCGGCCGCCCAUCAUCUGGGAUGUGGGGAGCGCCUCUGCCCGGCCGCGACCCCAUCUGGGAGGUGAGGAGCGUCUCUGCCCGGCUGCCCCAUCUGAGAAGUGAGGAGACCCUCUGCCCGGCAACCGCCCCGUCUAAGUGAGGAGCCCCUCCGCCCGGCAGCCACCCCAUCUGAGAAGUGAGGAGCCCCUCCGCCUGGCAGCCACCCUGUCUGGGAAGUGAGGAGCGUCUCCGCCCGGCAACCACGCCAUCCGGGAGGGAGGUGGGGGUCAGCCCCCACCAGGCCAGCCGCCCCGUCCGGGAGGGAGGUGGGGGUCAGCCCCCGGCCGGCCAGCCACCCCGUCUGGGAGGGAGGUGGGGGGUCAGCCCCCCGCCCGGCCAGCCGCCCCGUCCGGGAGGUGGGGGGGUCAGCCCCCCGCCCGGCCAGCCGCCCCGUCCGGGAGGGAGGGAGGUGGGGGGGUCAGCCCCCCGCCCGGCCAGCCGCCCCGUCCGGGAGGUGAGGGGCGCCUCUGCCCGGCUGCCCCUACUGGGAAGUGAGGAGCCCCUCUGCCCGGCCACCACCCCGUCUGGGAGGUGUGCCCAGCAGCUCAUGGAGAACGGGCCAUGAUGACCGUGGCGGUUUUGUGGAGUAGAAAGGGGGGAAAGGUGGGGAAGGGAUUGAGAAAUCGGAUGGUUGCCGUGUCUGUGUGGAAAGAAGUAGACAUGGGAGACUUUUCAUUUUGUUUUGUACUAAGAAAAAUUCUUCUGCCUUGGGAUCCUGUUGAUCUGUGACCUUACCCCCAACCCCGUGCUCUCUGAAACAUGUGCUGUGUCCACUCAAGGUUAAAUGGAUUAAGGGCGGUGCAAGAUGUGCUUUGUUAAACAGAUGCUUGAAAGGCAGCAUGCUUGUUAAGAGUCAUCACCACUCCCUAAUCUCAAGUACCCAGGGACACAAACACUGCAGAAGGCCGCAGGGUCCUCUGCCUAGGAAAACCAGAGACCUUUGUUCACUUGUUUGUCUGCUGACCUUCCCUCCACUAUUGUCCUGUGGGCCAAAUCCCCCUCUGCGAGAAACACCCAAGAAUGAUCAAUAAAAAAAAAAAAAAAAAAAUCCACAGCUAUCAUCAUAUGUAAAGUUGAAAGGCCAGAUGCUUUCCCCCUAUAAUCAGGAAUAAGACAAAGAUAUCCAUUUCUUAUAACUUCUAUUCAACAUUGGAGAUUCUAGCCAGGGCAAUUAGGGAAGAAAAAGAAAUAAAAAGAAUCCACAUUGGAUUUCAUUGUUUCCUAUGAAAUAAGUAAAACUCAUUUAUUCCAAGUGAUAUUUAAUAAUAUAAAACUCAAUUAGAAAAGCAGCUUUGUGGUAUUUGUCAAAUGUUAUUCGAAGCAUAUUCUGUUCUCUCUUAACCAUAAAGGCCUAACCCCAAAUAUUUAUGUUAAGCACUUAACAUCCUUACAAGAAAACUCUAUCUUGGCCUGACAGAAAACUUAACACAAGAAAAACUGUCUUUAGGAACAGAGGCACAAACACAAUGAAACUGAUACUAUUUAUAGUGACUUUGUGUUAUAAAGUUUGAGAGAAUACAUGCUGGGAAAAAAAUAUUUUUCCUUCAAAAUUCUAGAAAACGCAAAAAACGGAAGUAUCCAAUUUCUAUUCAAUCUGUUCUAAUGCCUUCUUAGGUCAGAGGUAAAAGUUACAAAAUAAAAUAAAAAGAACAAAAGACAAUAUUGAGAAUUCUUUAUGAAAAUAUUUUAGGUUCAACAGACAUAACUGCCAAAGGAAAAAAGUCACUGCUUUUUCUGGAUGUGAAGAUACACAACGGCAAGAUGAACAGCAUCAAGUUCAAAUGCAAGGCCUAGUGACUUCUGUGUCCAUUGUCAUUCUCUUUCCUUUAGCAAUGAUCACAUCAUUGACAUCUUUAAAUAUAUGUAUCAUAUAUAUAUUUGUGUGUGUAUAUAUGAUACAUAAGAUAUAUCACAGAAACUGAUCAUAUAUAUAUAUAUAUAUAUAUAUAUAUAUCUUAUCUUUUUCAUUAGAUUAUUACCUCCUUUUGGUCCACCUUGGGUGCCAUAGCACCUAUAAUAGCCUCUAACUAGGUAUCCAACAAAUGUUUGUAUACUUUAAAGGAAUUCUGAAUUUUCAAUUACCUGCAUAUGAAUGAUUGAUUUUGUACAUCACACAUAGCAAGACAGAGGGUAAGGAAGCAUCUUAUUUCUUACAACAAACACUGAUCAAGCUCCUACAAUGUGUAAGAAAAUUAGGGGAGGUGUGCUGUAAUGGCUUGGGUUUACUAAGGUGGCAUAUAGAGAAGAUCAAUUAACUUCAAGUAAGCCAAGGAAGUCAAUCUGCUAUUUAGGAAGCACUGAAAUGCAUCCCAAGUCAGACAUACAGUUUCUAGAACAUAUGAUGCUUUGAAUUAUGCAUGCUGUUGAUUCUGGAGUCACAGAAUUACUCAAAUUACAAACGUAUAAAGUCUGUAACUAUUGGCUGGGAGUGGUGGCUCACGCCUGUCAUCCCAGCACUUUGGGGGGCCGAGACAGGAGAAUCACGAGGUCAAGAGAUCGAGACCAUCCUGGCCAAUGUGGUAAAACCCUGUCUCUAUUAAAAACACAAAAAUUAGCUGGGCUUGGUGGCACACGCCUGUAAUCCCAGCUACUCGGGAGGCUGAGGCAGGAGAAUUGCUUGAACCCGGGAGGCGGAAGUUGCAGCGAGCCAAGAUCGCACCACCAUACUCCAGCCUGGCGGCAGAGCGAGACUCCAUCUCAAAAAAAAAAAAAAAAAGUCUAUAACUAUUAUUAACUUGUUUACCAUUAUGAUAUGUUAAAGGAAUUAUUUUUAGAAACUGAUCAAAGAAGCAAUAGGAGUGAACACCUUCCUUUACUCUACUAACCUGCAGGACAUUGCCCAUAAUCACACUGUCAACUGUUUCAGGUGAGACUUUGCCAGCAGACAAGGCAGCCUUGGCAGCAAAUUCAGACAAGUCAGUAGCAGUGAAGUCUUUCAGAAGGCCUCCGUAAGCUCCAAAGGGCGUUCGCUUAGCAGCAACUACAAACACACCUAUUGCAACAAGAAGAGAUUUGUAAGCCAUCACAGGUACCAAGAACUGCACUGCAUGCUGUUAAGGAAGAAGACCACCACUUCUCCUGCGCACCCCGCCCCCCUUGCCUAGUUUAUAAAACAGGAGGAAAAGAAAAAAGCAAAAAGUUAAAAAGAAACAGAAGUAAGAUAAAUAGCCAGAUGGCCUGGUGCCACCACCCGGCCCUGGUAGUUAAAAUAAUAAUAAUAAUAAUAAUAAUAAUAAUAAUAAUAAUAAUAUCAAUCCCUGACCUAAACUACUUGUGUUAUCUGUAAUUUCCAGACAUUGUAUGAAAAAGCAUUGCAAAACUUUCUGCUCUGUAAGCUAAUGCAUGUAGCCCCCAGUCACGUUCCCCACACUUGCUUGAUCUAUCACCAUCCUUUCAGGUGGACCCCUUAGAGUUGUAAGCCCUUAAAAGGGCCAAGAAUUUCUUUUUGAGGGAGCUCGGCUCUUAAGACGCAAGUUGGUGGAUGCUCCAAGCCAAAUAAAGCCUCUUCCUUCUUUAAUCCAGUGUCUGAGGAGUUUUGACUGUGGCUCGUCCUGCUACACUGUGAUGUAAAGCCAUUCUGGUUAGACAACUUUCUUGUUCUCUGAUGCUUCACAAUGCUAGAAACAUAUGUUGAGAACUAAAAUCCUUC